CUCCUAGAUGAUCGCGACGGUUCCCCUCUGGGGGAUCAAAAGGGAAUGCGGUGCGGGACGGCUCUCGGUUGGAGCAAGCCCAAUGCCGCGGCUGCCCCCGCAACUGUAAGCGGUUAGUCUUUCGUCUGAUGCCACUGGGAAACUCGGUCCUGGGAAGGCGACGAAAGGUUCCGACCCGCGAGCCAGGAGACCUGCCGUCAAUCGUGGUCACACG
rnacentral:ncRNA from 19 species